GACGAACGCUGGCGGCGUGCUUAACACAUGCAAGUGGAGCGACGAACCAGGGCUUGCCCUGGGGCAGAGCCGCGAACGGGUGAGUAACACGUGGGUUACCUGCCCCGAUGAUUGGGACAACCCGAGGAAACUCGGGCUAAUACCAAAUGUGCUCCUGGCCAUAAUGGCCUUGAGGAAAGGAAGCUUCGGCCUCCGCAUCGGGAUGGGCCCGCGGCCCAUUAGCUAGUUGGUGGGGUAACGGCCUACCAAGGCGACGAUGGGUAGCUGGUCUGAGAGGACGAUCAGCCACACUGGGACUGAGACACGGCCCAGACUCCUACGGGAGGCAGCAGUGGGGAAUCUUGCGCAAUGCGCGAAAGCGUGACGCAGCAACGCCGCGU
rnacentral:rRNA from 1 species